GAGGAUGAUGAUUUCAUAUUUGUCGCCCCAGUCUUAGGAUCUGCCUAGACCAAUCUUUGCUGAUUGACAUACUUCUGAAUCUGACUC